rnacentral:rRNA from 1 species
ACGGGGUAGGAUCACGUAGGUGACGUACCCCCAGGGCGAGGAUAGCCACGGGAAACUGUGGGUAAUACUCGAUAACCUUCCUUUUCAUGAUAGCUGGGGAAGCAAUGGGUGUGAUUCCACCUGGGGAGCGGCUUACGCAGUAUCAGCUAGUUGGUGAGGUAACGGCUCACCAAGGCUUUGACGCUUAGGGGGUGUGAGAGCAUGGCCCCCACCACUGGCACUGAGACACUGGCCAGACACCUACGGGUGGCUGCAGUCGAGAAUCUUCGGCAAUGGACGAAAGUCUGACCGAGCGACGCCGCGUGCGGGAUGAAGGUCUUCGGAUUGUAAACCGCUGUCAGAGGGGAUGAAGUAUAUGAGAGCAAUCUCUCGUAUUUGACAGAGCCUCAGAGGAAGCACGGGCUAAGUUCGUGCCAGCAGCCGCGGUAAUACGAACUGUGCGAACGUUAUUCGGAAUCACUGGGCUUAAAGGGUGCGUAGGCGGUCAUCUAAGUCACGUGUGAAAUCUUCUGGCUCAACCAGAAAACUGCGCGUGAAACUAGUUGACUUGAGUGAGGUAGGGGUGUGUGGAACUUCCGGUGGAGCGGUG